CCUACGGGAGGCAGCAGUGAGGAAUAUUGGACAAUGGGCGCAAGCCUGAUCCAGCCAUGCCGCGUGCAGUAUGACGGUCCUAUGGAUUGUAAACUGCUUUUGUACAGGAAGAAACAGUUCUACGUGUAGAACCUUGACGGUACUGUAAGAAUAAGGAUCGGCUAACUCCGUGCCAGCAGCCGCGGUAAUACGGAGGAUCCAAGCGUUAUCCGGAAUCAUUGGGUUUAAAGGGUCCGUAGGCGGUUUAGUAAGUCAGUGGUGAAAGCCCAUCGCUCAACGGUGGAACGGCCAUUGAUACUGCUAAACUUGAAUUAUUAGGAAGUAACUAGAAUAUGUAGUGUAGCGGUGAAAUGCUUAGAGAUUACAUGGAAUACCAAUUGCGAAGGCAGGUUACUACUAAUAUAUUGACGCUGAUGGACGAAAGCGUGGGUAGCGAACAGGAUUAGAUACCCUGGUAGUCCACGCCGUAAACGAUGGAUACUAGACUGUUGGUAGGCGAUACUCUAGUGGUCGUAAGUACGAAGUAGUAGUAAGUAAGUACCGUACCGUACGGGUAGGUACGGUUAACGGUCGAAGAAGUUAGUAAACGUUAACGUUAAAGUAAGUUAAGUUAGGUUACGGCGAGAGACGCGACGACGGACGACGACGGAGGGAGGAGG
rnacentral:rRNA from 1 species